AUUUAAAUAGCUUAUAUAGAGCACGAUUUUGAAGAAAUUGGGGAAACUUAAAGUUUUUAAAUA
rnacentral:tRNA from 1 species